rnacentral:rRNA from 1 species
CUGGCGGCGUGCCUAAUACAUGCAGGUCGAACGGCUUUCUAUGGAAGCUUGCUUCCACUGAGAAGAUAGUGGCGAACGGGUGAGUAACACGUGGGUAACCUGCCCAUAAGAGGGGGAUAACAUCCGGAAACGGGUGCUAAUACCGCAUAGUUUUCUUGAUCGCAUGAUUGAGAAAGGAAAGACGGCCUUUGUGCUGUCGCUUAUGGAUGGACCCGCGGCGUAUUAGUUAGUUGGUGAGGUAACGGCUCACCAAGACGAUGAUACGUAGCCGACCUGAGAGGGUGAUCGGCCACAUUGGGACUGAGACACGGCCCAAACUCCUACGGGAGGCAGCAGUAGGGAAUCUUCCGCAAUGGACGAAAGUCUGACGGAGCAACGCCGCGUGAGUGAAGAAAAGGUUUUCGGAUCGUAAAACUCUGUUGUCAGAGAAGAACAAGUUGGAGAGUAACUGCUCCAGCCUUGACGGUAUCUGACCAGAAAGCCACGGCUAACUACGUGCCAGCAGCCGC